CAGCCGCCGCGGUAAUACGUAGGUGGCGAGCGUUGUCCGGAAUUAUUGGGCGUAAAGGGAGCGCAGGCGGGUGGGUAAGUCUUUCUUAAAAGUGCGGGGCUCAACCCCGUGAGGGGAGAGAAACUACUCAUCUUGAGUGCAGGAGAGGAAAGCGGAAUUCCUAGUGUAGCGGUGAAAUGCGUAGAUAUUAGGAAGAACACCAGUGGCGAAGGCGGCUUUCUGGACUGUAACUGACGCUGAGGCUCGAAAGCCAGGGGAGCGAACGGGAUUAGAUACCCCCGUAGUCCCUGUCUCUUAUACA
rnacentral:rRNA from 1 species